AUAAAUAGUCUGGCCUGCCCACUGAUGUUUAAAGGGCCGCGGUAUUUGGACCGUGCUAAGGUAGCAUAAUCAAUAGUCUUUUAAUUGGGGUCUAGAAUGAAUGGUCGGAUGAGGUGCAAGUUUUCUGCUAGUGUGUUAUUGAAUUUUACUUUUAAGUGAAAAGGCUUAAAUAAUUUAGUGGGACGAUAAGACCCUGUGAAGCUUUAUUUUAGUUGUAUCUUGAUACUUAAUAUGUUGGUGAAUUGAGGUUAGGUUUGGCUGGAAUUGUGUUGGGGCGACAAGAAUAUAUAAUAAAACUGUUUGUGUAUUGAAAAAUAAUUAAUUUUUAGAGAAUUGAUCCUGAUGUUGUGGAUUAGAAGAUUAAAGUUACUCCAGGGAUAACAGCGUAAUUUUCUUUGAGAGUUCAUAUCGACAAGAAUAGUUGCGACCUCGAUGUUGAAUUAAGAUUUCAUUAAAGUGCAGGAGCUUUAAUUGUAGGUCUGUUC
rnacentral:rRNA from 1 species